rnacentral:rRNA from 1 species
UACGUAUGGGGCGAGCGUUGUUCGGAUUUACUGGGCGUAAAGGGCUUGUAGGUGGUGGAUCAAGUCGGAUGUGAAAUCUCCGGGCUUAACCCGGAAAUUGCAUUCGAAACUGAUCCGCUAGAGUACCGGAGAGGGAAACGGAAUUCCUGGUGUAGGGGUGAAAUCUGUAGAUAUCAGGAAGAACACCGGUGGCGAAGGCGGUUUCCUGGCCGGAUACUGACACUGAGGAGCGAAAGCUAGGGGAGCAAACAGGAUUAGAUACCCCCGUA